rnacentral:rRNA from 1 species
AGUAGCAAUACUUAGUGGCAGACGGGUGAGUAACAUGUAGGUAUCUGCCCUUUGGCCUGGAAUAACACGAGGAAACUUGUGCUAAUACCGGAUAAGUCUUUACGGAGAAAGCUUUAUGCACCAUUGGAUGAGCCUGCACUUGAUUAGUUUGUUGGUGGGGUAAUGGCCUACCAAGACUGUGAUCAAUAGCUGAUUUGAGAGGAUGAUCAGCCACAUUGGGACUGAGACACGGCCCAAACUCCUACGGGAGGCAGCAGUGGGGAAUCUUGCACAAUGGAGGAAACUCUGAUGCAGCGAUGCCGCGUGAGUGAAGAAGGCCUUUGGGUUGUAAAGCUCUUUCGUCGGGGAAGAAAAUGACUGUACCCGAAUAAGAAGGUCCGGCUAACUUCGUGCCAGCAGCCGCGGUAAUACGAAGGGACCUAGCGUAGUUCGGAAUUACUGGGCUUAAAGAGUUCGUAGGUGGUUGAAAAAGUUAGUGGUGAAAUCCCAGAGCUUAACUCUGGAACUGCCAUUAAAACUUUUCAGCUAGAGUAUGAUAGAGGAAAGCAGAAUUUCUAGUGUAGAGGUGAAAUUCGUAGAUAUUAGAAAGAAUACCAAUUGCGAAGGCAGCUUUCUGGAUCAUUACUGACACUGAGGAACGAAAGCAUGGGUAGCGAAGAGGAUUAGAUACCCUCGUAGUCCAUGCCGUAAACGAUGUGUGUUAGACGUUGGAAAUUUAUUUUCAGUGUCGCAGGGAAACCGAUAAACACACCGCCUGGGGAGUACGACCGCAAGGUUAAAACUCAAAUGAAUUGACGGGGACCCGCACAAGUAGUGGAGCAUGUGGUUUAAUUCGAAGAUACGCGCAGAACCUUACCAACACUUGACAUGUUCGUCGCGACUCUAAGAGAUUAGAGUUUUCGGUUCGGCCGGACGAAACACAGGUGCUGCAUGGCUGUCGUCAGCUCGUGUCGUGAGAUGUUGGGUUAAGUCCCGCAACGAGCGCAACCCUCACUUUUAGUUGCCAUCAUUAAGUUGGGCACUCUGAAAGAACUGCCAGUGAUAAGCUGGAGGAAGGUGGGGAUGACGUCAAGUCCUCAUGGCCCUUAUAGGUGGGGCUACACACGUCAUACAAUGGCUGGUACAAAGGGUUGCCAACCCGCGAGGGGGAGCUAAUCCCAUAAAACCAGUCGUAGUCCGGAUCGCAGUCUGCAACUCGACUGCGUGAAGUCGGAAUCGCUAGUAAUCGUGGAUCAGAAUGUCACGGUGAAUACGUUCCCGGGUCUUGUACACACCGCCCGUCACACCAUGGGAGCGGGUUCUGCCAGAAG